rnacentral:rRNA from 1 species
GACGAACGCUGGCGGCGUGCUUAACACAUGCAAGUCGAACGGUAAGGCCCUUCGGGGUACACGAGUGGCGAACGGGUGAGUAACACGUGGGUGAUCUGCCCUGCACUUCGGGAUAAGCCUGGGAAACUGGGUCUAAUACCGGAUAGGACCACUGCCUACAUGGGUGGUGGUGGCAAGCUUUUGCGGUGUGGGAUGGGCCCGCGGCCUAUCAGCUUGUUGGUGGGGUGAUGGCCUACCAAGGCGACGACGGGUAGCCGGCCUGAGAGGGUGACCGGCCACACUGGGACUGAGAUACGGCCCAGACUCCUACGGGAGGCAGCAGUGGGGAAUAUUGCACAAUGGGCGCAAGCCUGAUGCAGCGACGCCGCGUGAGGGAUGACGGCCUUCGGGUUGUAAACCUCUUUCAGCACCGACGAAGCGCAAGUGACGGUAGGUGCAGAAGAAGGACCGGCCAACUACGUGCCAGCAGCCGCCGUAA